AUUGAACGCUAGCGGGAUGCCUUACACAUGCAAGUCGAACGGCAGCGGGAAGUAGCUUGCUACUUUGCCGGCGAGUGGCGAACGGGUGAGUAAUGUAUCGGAACGUGCCCAGUAGCGGGGGAUAACUACGCGAAAGCGUGGCUAAUACCGCAUACGCCUACGGGGAAAGGGGGGGAACGGUCUUCGGAGCCUCUCACUAUUGGAGCGGCCGAUAUCGGAUUAGCUAGUUGGUGGGGUAAAGGGCCUACCAAGG
rnacentral:rRNA from 1 species